UGUGUCCGAAAUGGAUCCCUCACCCCUGUAGGCGACUCAAAAUUUCCCAUAAAGCAUUGCAAAAUGUAGUAUCCAUCUGAUGGUGGUGGGCAUCCCGACAGACAGCCUUCGUCUCCUUUCAGUCGGCAUUAUGGGCUGUGUCCGAAAUGAAUCACUCAAUCCCUCACCCCUAAGCCCCAUAUGGGGUUUCACUAUAUAGUUGACUAUGUAGAGAACUCAAUUACCGGAGGUUACGGACACUACAUGGCAAGCCGCAAUGCAUGACAGAAUGCCCACCACCGGUGAGUGACCGUCCGACAGUCACUGCAUUUUACAGUGCUUUAUGUGAAAUUUUGAGUCGCCUAUACACUGUGUGCACAAUUAUUAGGCAAGUGAGUAUUUUGAUCAUAUCAUCAUUUUUAUGCAUAUUUUUGAACUCCAAGCUGUAUAAACUUGAAUGUUUCUUGGAUAUAAGCAUAUCAGGUAAUGUGUAUUAGUGUAAUGAGGGAGGCUGGGGCCUAAGGAGAUCAAAACCCUAAAUCAAGGUGUGCAUAAUUAUUAGGCAGCUUCUUUUCCUCAGGUAAAAUGGGCCAAAAAAGAGAUUUAAGUGACUCUGAAAAGUCAAAAAAUGUAAAAAGUCUUUCAGAGGGAUGCAGCACUCUUGAAAUUGCUUAGAUAUUUGGGCGUGAUCAAAGAACCAGCAAACAUUUUGAUGCAAAUAGUCAACAGGGUCGCAAGAAAUGUGUUAAGAAAAAAGACGCAAAUUAACUGCCAAAGAUUUGAGAAGACUCAAACGUAAAGGUACCAGGAAUCGCUUAUCCUCCGGUGCUGUCAUAUUCCAGAACUGCAACCUACCUGGAGUGCCCAGAAGUACAAGGUGUUCAGUGCUCAGAGACAUGGCCAAGGUAAGGAAGGCUGAAACCCGACCACCACUGAACAAGACACAAGUUGAAACGUCAAGACUGGGCCAAGAAAUAUCUGAAGAGAGAUUUUUCAAAGGUUUUAUGGACUGAUGGGAUAAGAGUGACUCUUGACGGACCAGAUGGAUGGACCCGUGGCUGGAUCAGUAAUGGGCACAGAGCUCCACUUCGAAUCAGACACCAGCAAGGUGGAGGUGGGGUACUGGUAUGGGCUGGUAUUAUUAAAGAUGAGCUAGCUGGACCUUUUGGGUUAAAGAUGGACUUAAAAUCAACUCCCAAAUCCAAUGCCAUUUGUGAAAACACUUUCUUCAAGCAGUGGUACAGGCAAAAGUCUGCAUCUUUCAAGAAAACCCUGAUUUUUAUGCAGGACAAUGCUCCAUCGCAUGCAACAAAGUACUCCACUAUGUGGCUCGCCAGUAAAGGCCUUAAAAACAAAAGAAUAAUGACGUGGCCUCCUUCUUUACCUGACCUAAACCCUGUUGAGAACUUGUGAGCCCUUCUUAAACGGGAAAUUUACAGUGAAGGAAGACAGUACACCUCUCUGAACAGUGUCUGGAACAGUGUCUGGAAGGCUUUGGUUACUGCAACACAAAAAGUUGAUCGUCAACAGAUCAAGAAACUGAAAGACUCCAUGAAUGGAAGGCUUAUGACUGUUAAUGAAAAGAAGGGUGGCUAUAUUGGUCACUGAUUUUUUUUUUUUAAAUUUCAACAAUUUUUAUUUGUAAAUUGAGUUGUUUGUUUAUCAUUCUCACUUUAACAAGUGAAAAUAAACAAGUGAGAUGGAAAAUUUUUCAUUUUUAAUUUAGUUGCAUAAUAAUUCUGCACACUAAUAGCUGCCCCCAAUAAUUGUGCACACAUAGAUAUUCUCCUAAGGAAGUCAAAAUCUCACUUUUACUCCCUUAAAUAUUAAGGUUUGAGGUUUAUUAACAUUUUGGAUUGACCGAGAGCACUGUAGUUGUUCAAAAAUAAAAUUUAUCCUCAAAAAUACAACUUGCCUAAUAAUUGUGCACACAGUGUAUAGGGCACUGGUAUUGAUGACUGAGGUUUCGGACACCCCUCAAAAUGGCGCUAACCCCUCAUAGUUGCCUAUGUAGGGGUUAGGGAUCCAUUUCAGACAUAGCCAUGGACUGUACCGCCCCCUACCCUGCGGGAAGCUGGCCCCCGAAUUUCGGGAAAAUAGCCUGUUUCGUUUGUGCUUCGUUUGUGGUGGUUUGUGCCCUAUAAAUUUUUGUUUGUGCUACUACAGUUUUAAGUUAUUAAAUAUUGUUUUAUAGGUCAUCCAGAGGUCACCCAGCCCCCCAUUUGUUUCAAAUGGACCUGAAAUGCUGCCGUUCGUUUCAGCUGGUUUGUGCCCAUAGACUGUAUAUACUAUGGACAACUUGGUUCCGCCUCCUGCCUGUAUACCGAUUUGAAGGCAAAGAGCUCUCAGUAUUUCCGGGAUUUUUCUUCAUUUCCUGAAACCAGUAGUGGUGCACGCAUUCGGGCGCGCAGUCACAGAGCGUCGCUGUGAUGACACUCGGCUCAAACAGCAUAUCCCCCAAGAGAGCUACGCAAUCCCUGAACGCCCAUAGGCUGUAUCAGGUGUCAAUCAUAGAAAACAUUAACCCCCUAAUAAUUUUUAAUAACGGAGCUUCACAGAAAAAGAGCAAUUGAACACAAACCAGUCUUACUGUAACUACAUGUCAACACUGAAGCAAUCUGUGUAAUCUGUGUAAUAAAUUUCUAAAGUUUGUCCAGAGCCCCAUAAGCUUUGCUGGCGGAGGCAGGAUUUAUGACCUGUACUGCAGCCAAUCAACAGAGGGUGCUGUUCUCGGGGUGGCUUCACCCAACAAGGAGGCAGACUCUGUCCAUUCUUUAUAGAGUCUAUGUUUGUGCCAUAAAAAAAUGUGUUUGUGCUGCUAGGGUUUUUAAAGAGGACCUGCCAUAAAAAUGUAAUUUUCUGUGUUUUUUGUGUCAGAUAAGGUCCAUAUUAUGUUCGUCUUAUGUUGUAAAUGUGAAAACAAACCGUUACGUUGUUUGCAUUCUGUAAAGGUUUAAAAUAAAGGAACGGGUAAACCAGGCCAAUUGAAAAAGCAGGUCCAUCUGACGUCGCGCUGACGUUGCUCAUUAUUAUUCACGAGCGCGUCCUCGGUGAGCCGCGCCCACUCUCUCGUUCUCGUACUCAUUCACAGACAACAUCACUCUCCAGAGCGAGACCCAGCUACCGCUGUAUCCGCUAUGGGUCUCUUCCAAACGACCAGUGUUUCCUUGGGUUCAGUGCCGGGAAAAUGAACUUAAAGCUGGGCAGAAUGAAUGAGAAAACACAGCUGGAGCUCUCCGGCUUCUUCUUCAACUUUCACCUCCUCUUCGGACUCGGGGUCUAAAAUAUAUGGUUUAAUACCUGCCAUUUUUAGCCUUUAGCAUAAGGUGACCAGACGUCCCCGAUUUCCGGGGACAGUCCCCGUAUUGGAUGACCUGUCCUCGGCAAAAGCUGUCCCCGAAAAUGUCCCAGAUUUAAGCGUUUCAUGAAUGAGAGCAAAAAAUGUUGUGUGUGGGCUCGAACAACGGUUAUUACAGUAGCCGAAUGGGUAGGAAGCACAAGUUAGCAGUCUUGAACAACAGUUCUUACGGGGGUUAUUACAAGGGACAUGCUACUAAAUAGUACCGAGAUUUUGUCUGUGAUCAAACAGCCCCUGCACCCGCUGCCGCUGCACCAAAUAUCCCCGGAUAUCAUCACAGACAUCUGGGCACCUUACUUUAGCACACAUUAGCAAAAUGAAUAAACCAAAAUCCGAACCUCCACUGCUGAGCCAAUCAGAGCACAGCAGGCGUCACAGCAGCGAUCCAAUCAGAGCAAAGCUCAUUACCAUAAAUGUUAAUGAGCCAAAAUCAGUUGGUUUUCCUGUAAGGUUUUUUAGGCAUACUAAAACAAACCAUCAAAUAACUUUUCAGCUAAAAUUAUGUUGCAAACAUGAUCAGAAGACAUCAAGGAUUAUGAAUAAAUGAUAAAAAUGGGUAUGAAAUUUUGAUGGCAGGUCCCCUUUAAGUCAUUAAACACUUUAUUUUUGGCAGUGACAUCACCCAGCCCCCCAUUUGCUCCAAAUGGACCUGAAAUGGUACCGUUCAUUCCUGCUUCGUUUGUGCCGUUGUUGUGCCAAGAAAUGCACGCCCACUGAUAAGUUCAUCAUGCACCUCGCGGAAAAGCGCACUGCUUACCGUAGAGUGGUCCACAGAAAUUUACAUAUUAAAACCCAUACAAUUCUUAUUUGUGGGGCUAAACAGCUAUGAGCAAUGAUCCAGAGGUGAAGUUUAUAACUUUUGUGUCAUUUAUGUUGAAUAGUGUUACGCCCCACCCUUAGGCGGCCCUAUGGGGCUAACAACAAUCCUCAACUUUUGACCCAUCAAAUUAACACGAAGAACCCACAACACAAAUGAGCGGCAGCAGGGCAGCAGUUCCCCACCAAAUGCCUCUCCAGACUGCAGGCAGCUCUGGGCUUUUAGACUCCCAGCACCAGGUGAGUCUGAUUGUCACUCAAGUGAUUUCACCUGGGCAGCUAUGGAGAGACAAGAGGGGAAAAACACAUGCAAAACAAACACACAGCCGUAACAAAUAGACCAUG